AUGACUGUUAUAACCAGCCUGCUUCUCAUUACAGUGAUCAUUACAAGUGUUGAAUGUCAGACACUGACUGAGUCUGAACCAGCAGUUAAAAAGCCUGGAGAAUCCCACAAACUGACCUGUACAGCCUCUGGGUUCUCAUUCAGCAGCUUAUAUCUGAACUGGAUCAGACAGACUCCUGGGAAGGCACUGGAGUGGGUUGCCUAUAUUAACCCUAGCAGUGGCACCAGCUAUUCCCAGUCUGUUCAGGGAAGAUUCACCAUCUCCAGAGACGACUCCAACAACAAGCUGUAUUUACAGAUGAACAGCCUGACAGCUGAAGACACUGCUGUGUAUUACUGUGCCAGACACCCACACUUGACUGGUAACCGUGACACCGACUACUUCGACUACUGGGGAAGAGGCACAAAAGUCACAGUUACCUCAGGUGUUCAACAAGCUCCAAGUGUCUUCCCUUUGCUUAGUUGUGGCUCUCCAGUAGAUGGCUACGUCACAGUGGCUUGCAUGGCUAAAGAUUUCUUGCCUGACGAUUUGACCUUCACAUGGAGUCAGGGAGGAAAUGUUCUGACGGACGGCUUCCUUCAGUAUCCAUCUGUACGGAACAACGAUACAUUCACCGCUGUCAGCCACCUGAAAGUGAAACAAUCCGACUGGGACAGUCAGAAGGCCUACCAAUGUUCCGCAGCAGUUUCGGUUGGUACCGCCGAGAAAGCAAGACUCGUCCUUCCUAAAGUCGUAAUCAACUCCGCCACUCUUUAUCUAAUGAUCCCGACUGAGGACCAGCUAAAUGACAACAAGACCGCUUCCUUUGCCUGCUUUGCCAGUGAAUUUUCUCCCAAGGAACUCACUUUUACAUGGCGCAGGAAUGGCAAGGUGUUGACUGAUGGCAUCACAACCCUGCCCGUGGUGGAAAUUAGCGGAAAUUACAGCGUGUCCAGCUUUCUGCAUCUUUCUGAAAAGCAGUGGAAAUCUGACGACGUCGUCUCCUGUGCAAUUACCCACAAAGGCGGAAACUUUGUGAGGACGGCCACUUACAGCAAUCCCUCUGGCAAUUGUGAAGGAAUUCCCAUUCAGGUGACAAUCCCCGAACCAUCCACCACGGAGCUGUUCCUGCAUGGCCGGGUGGAGCUGAGAUGCCAAAUCACCGGGGAUUUGGGAGGCAUCAUCAAUGUUGAGUGGCGAAACGGAGAUGGCACGGCCCUCAUGUCCACCACCGAAAAUGUGGGAAAAUCCCGAAUCGCAACGCUCUAUGUCAAGUACGACGACUGGGCCAAUGGAACAGAGUACACAUGCAUAGUGAUGCACGAAUAUUCCAUAACUCCAAUUUCCACGCCCUACUAUCGAGAUAACGAAGACUGCUACUCCAUUGACGUGGAGGACGACUCCGGCGCAGCCGACAUUGCCAUUGCCUUCAUCUUCCUCUUCCUCAUCUCUCUGUUCUACAGCAUCGGAGCUACUGCCAUCAAGGUGAAAUGAGAGACACACUAGAAGAAACCUGGUUCUGUGCUUAUGUGUGUGUGUGUGUUCUGCUAGUGCAAAUAUCUCUUAUCGACACAAGCAUAAUUUUCUACUGAAACAGUCCUCUGUGUUUGUAAAUGACAAUAUAAUAUGAUAUCCUGUGAUGUUACUCUGUACAUAUUUCACUGUAACUCCAAAUAUUUCAAAUAAAACAUGUCGCUUGCCUGUCUUUGAAAAAGACAAA